rnacentral:rRNA from 1 species
UACGAAGGGGGCUAGCGUUGUUCGGAAUUACUGGGCGUAAAGCGCGCGCAGGCGGUUCUUCAAGUCAGAGGUGAAAGCCCAGAGCUCAACUCUGGAAUGGCCUUUGAGACUAGAGAACUAGGGUACGGGAGAGGUGAGUGGAAUUCCGAGUGUAGAGGUGAAAUUCGUAGAUAUUCGGAAGAACACCAGUGGCGAAGGCGGCUCACUGGCCCGUUACCGACGCUCAGGCGCGACAGCGUGGGGAGCAAAGCAGGGAUUAGAAAACCCGGGGUA